ACGGCAAUGGCGGAGGAGGAGGAUGCGAGGAGUUCUUCGAUUACAUUUUUGGUGAUGAAGAGGAUGCAACGGCAGCAGCUGGCUUCAAACUGAUGAAAGCUGCUUACGAAUGGAAGAACAGUGGCCAUGUUAUUACUUAUUAGAGUGUAAAUCUUUCUGUUCUAACAACCUUGUUGUAUGUUAUUGCCGUGGAAUUAGUUUGUUAAGCAUAUAGAAAAUUCACUAGAUUUUGACAUAAAUUUCACAACGAACAGUCAAAUGAUGCUGGAAUUAUGAAAACAGCCCGUGGAUGACACAGUUACUCAUAGAUCGCUUGUAACUUAAAUAGUUAUAAAUAAAUAAAAAAGUAACAAAAAAUAGAUUAGUAUGAGAUAUAUCAAUCCAUAAGUAUGCAUGCUGAAAUUCGACUUGUAUAAGUUGUAAAAACCAGUUAUAAAAAAACAAAAAAUUAAAUUAAAACUUGUAUACAAAUACUUUGUUCAACUUAUAGCAAUCGAAUUUGAAUGUGCAAUGUUUAUGGAGUGAUACAAAUCAAUCUAUAUUGUUAUUGUUUCUAACUACUUAGAUGAUAUACACCCAUCGAGUAGGGAAACGCUUUUCCAAACAAACAUCUACAGACUACCUUCAGUUAUUUGUUCUUCCAAUUACAGCAAUAUCCAUACAAAACAGAUUUGCUGCAAGAAAAAACAUGUAAAUAAAAUGUUGGUGCGGCAACACUUACCGGAAUGAAGAACAGAAAAAAAAAAUUCUUGGAACAAAAGAGAAAAUACAUGAGGAAAAAAAAAAGGAACUUCCUCUAGACGUUUCCAUAGUAUAUAGCAGGGUUUGCUUUAUCGGUUUGUGCUUUUAUAUCGGGGGUCACCGAAAUCCCGAAAUUUUGGAAAUUUCGGUCCGAAAUUUCGAAAUUUUGAGCAAAAUUUAGUUGAAUUUGAAUAAAUAUUACCCAAAUUUAUGAAAAUUUUGAAAAAUUAAAGAAAUUCAGCCGGAAUAAUAUCGUAUCGGAGGGGAAUUUCGGUCCGAAAUGUCUAACCCUAGUAUAUAGACAUAUCCUUGCUCAUGAAUCAAGAUAAACCAAUCUAAUCAUUCAAGUAUACCACUAUCUCAAAUUGGACAAAGAAUCAUGAGAAGAAACCCAAAGGGGUGACCUGAGAACACAGUUACAGAAUUACUCCAUUAUACAGUAGCUCACCAUACAUUGUAUUGGCACCUGUGUUCUCAGUACCACUCCUCUGGGUUCAGCUUCUCUUCAUUGCUGUAACCGGCAAGUAAUUUCUUCAGAUAAUGUCAGUGGUUACUGCCAGCUUCUCCAUUAGGCUAGUAUUGUUGAUGCAUAUGGUUAGAUUGAGAAGAGUCAUGAACACAAGAAGAUGGUUGGAGAGAAUUUAUAUAUAGGGC
rnacentral:lncRNA from 1 species